GCUGUCAAGGAUACAGGGUCUGGUUACUGGCGCUGUUCUCCCUAGCCCCACCUUUAGAAUCUUUUUUUCCUGGGAGGUUUUUUUAAAGAAGAGAACUCGAUUUUGUACCCCAGGGUUUUGGAGGCGAUCGAACCAACCUAAUCUCCCUUGUUGUUUCCCUAGAUGAGACUUGGGGGAAAGUUUUUUGUGCUGUUACCUAACCAAAGACUUGUACAUAGACGUAGGAGAGGUUUGUGGGAAGUUGACGAAAGGCGAUGCUGACUACAUGUUGUUUGAUUGCGUUGUAGGAAGAUUUGGAAAAUGGAGAAGAUGUGGCAACGUGUCCUAGCUGCUCACUCAUUAUAAAAGUGAUUUAUGACAAAGAUCAGUUCAUGUGUGGAGAAACAGUCCCAGCUCCUUCAACCAACAAAGGGUUAGUUAAGUGCUGAGGACGCUCUCAGAACCCACAUCCAGAACAGCGGGGGCUGAGCCCAGGUGGCUGGAUCCGGUGCAGAGUUACCAACCUCCUCAGUGGGCAACUAUCCUGUGGAUGGCCUCAUGGGUGUGAUCUACAUCAGCCACUGACCUCGGCGUGAAGAAGUGAGCCUGUGACACAUCAGCCCUGGAUUCCAUGCUUACCUGACUGGCAGGAUUCCUCUCUGUCCAUCUGAAUUUAAGGAAGAGCCCUGUGAACUGAUGGUUUUUCCUUCAAUUGGUUGCAUCAUUUGAAUAUCUGAAAAUUCAUUUUCUGAAAAUAACAUCAUCCGCUCAGUCCUG
rnacentral:lncRNA from 1 species